UAGGAAAAGUAAACUCUCACCUGCUCACCUG
rnacentral:piRNA from 1 species